rnacentral:rRNA from 1 species
AGCAGCCGCGGUAAUUCCAGCUCCAAUAGCGUAUAUUAAAGUUGUUGCAGUUAAAAAGCUCGUAGUUGAAUUUCGGGGUUAGUAGAUUGGUCAUGCCUUUGGUAUGUACUGGUCUUACUGAUUCCUCCUUCUUGAAGAACCGUAAUGUCAUUAACUUGGUGUUGCGGGGAAACAGGACUGUUACCUUGAAAAAAUUGAGUGUUUAAAGCAGGCUAGCGCCUGAAUACAUUAGCAUGGAAUAAUGAAAUAGGACGUUCGAUCCUAUUUUGUUGGUUUCUAGGAUUGACGUAAUGAUUAAUAGGGAUAGUUGGGGGCAUUAGUAUUCAAUUGUCAGAGGUGAAAUUCUUGGAUUUAUUGAAGACUAACUACUGCGAAAGCAUUUGCCAAGGAUGUUUUCAUUAAUCAAGAACGAAAGUUAGGGGAUCGAAGACGAUCAGAUACCGUCGUAGU